GUGCUCAUUUCAGCAGCACAUACACUGAAAUUGCAAUGAUACAGGGAAGAUUAGCAUGGCC
rnacentral:snRNA from 14 species